rnacentral:lncRNA from 1 species
CUGAGGCUUUGUAUUCCUCUCAGUUGCUUAUAAGUAACCCCUACUGACUCCAGUACUGUCCUAAUAUAACCUGAGUCACUGCAGCAUUUUCCAUAGCAGAGGCUUGGUCCUGUGCUCUCUUCAAGGGUAUCUACUUUCACAGAAUUAAGGUAUAGAGGAAGGGCUCUCAGCUGGCAUCAAGGCCCUGAGAGGUGGGUGAUUACAUCAACCAUUUCAGGAUGUGGUGGAACAAGCAGUAAGAUUGUGUUCCAUUAACUCAAGAAUGGAAACCACUGGAACUAGGACUGCUCUGAGUCUCCAUUUUCAGCUUCAUCACCAUCUCAGGCAGCCAUAUUUACGAUCUUGCUUUUGUUCUAUGUGAAAAAAUUCAGACAGUAGCUCAGAGUUGAGCAGGGACAUUUCAUAACCUUCCGUGCUUUGGCAGGGCGGGAAAACUCUUCCCACACUGGAUCUGUGUGGGACUGUUAUAUUUUCAACUGCAGUUCUAUUCAGCGUCCUGCCACAGCGUGAUGCCCGGUGUGAGGCAUUACAGCGGCACAGCAGGCCUCCUCACAGAGUGCCCUAUGGCCAGAGAGCGGGAGCUUACAACCAAAAUAACUGCAGAACAUCACAUAGAUUCUGCACGAACAGCUCCUUCUGACUUCUCUUCUACGUGGUUUUUACAGGGUCACUGUGCUAACUGUGAAUUUGGGUCAAGGACCUGAGUGGGUAAGGUGGCCUCGUUUAUCUUCAGCCAAGGUUGAGACAACAGUCAUCAGUCCAUUUGACUCCAGCUGUGAAGUGAACAACUUACUUUGUUUUAGUAAUGAUUUGAGAGGCUCAUCAAUAAAGUUACCAAUACUCUUCA